GACGUAGGUGGCGAACGUUAUCCGGAAUCAUUGGGCGUAAAGGGUGCGUAGAUGGCAUGAUAAGUUAUUAGUGGGAAAUCGAGGCUCAACCUCGUGGAAGCUAGUAAUACUGUUUUGCUUGAGUACAGAAGAGGUUAAUGGAAUUCCAUGUGGAGCGGUAAAAUGUGUAGAUAUGUGGAGGAACACCGAUGGCGAAGGCAGCCCCCUGGGAUAACACUGACGCUCAUGCACGAAAGCGUGGGGAGCAAACAGG
rnacentral:rRNA from 1 species